AAUAAUCUUCAGGGCGGGGUGCAAGUCCCCACCGGCGGUAAAGCCCGCGAGCCGAAAGGUUGACUCGGUGAAAUUCCGAGGCCGACAGUAUAGUCUGGAUGGGAGAAGAUUAAA
rnacentral:ncRNA from 1 species